GAUGAACGCUGGCGGCGUGCCUAAUACAUGCAAGUCGAGCGAACAGACGAGGAGCUUGCUCCUCUGACGUUAGCGGCGGACGGGUGAGUAACACGUGGAUAACCUACCUAUAAGACUGGGAUAACUUCGGGAAACCGGAGCUAAUACCGGAUAAUAUAUUGAACCGCAUGGUUCAAUAGUGAAAGACGGUUUUGCUGUCACUUAUAGAUGGAUCCGCGCCGCAUUAGCUAGUUGGUAAGGUAACGGCUUACCAAGGCGACGAUGCGUAGCCGACCUGAGAGGGUGAUCGGCCACACUGGAACUGAGACACGGUCCAGACUCCUACGGGAGGCAGCAGUAGGGAAUCUUCCGCAAUGGGCGAAAGCCUGACGGAGCAACGCCGCGUGAGUGAUGAAGGUCUUCGGAUCGUAAAACUCUGUUAUUAGGGAAGAACAAAUGUGUAAGUAACUAUGCACGUCUUGACGGUACCUAAUCAGAAAGCCACGACUAACUACGUG
rnacentral:rRNA from 1 species